UUCUUGCAACACAAAAGAACCCUCUAUUCUUUUCUCCAUCAAUUGGGGUGGAGGGGAGUUCAAAGGAGAAAACAUGUCAUUAAUACUAGAAGCUGGUGCAGGCUUGAACUCGUAAGGUCCUUCCUUCACUCCCCAAACCUGAUUUCCACCAUCAUCAUAGCCCCUAUCCCAUGUAUGUACUUCAUUGUUUUUUAAAAUUGCAAGUUCCGAAGUGCAGUAGCUUGCUCCGUUCCAUGUAUUUGGGAAUCCACCAGGGGGAGUAGAACCUUCAUACAAGCAGCAUUUUCCACGGUCACAGCGUUUAAGAUGUAUUGUUGUCAGAUGUUCUGCAAUGUCACCAAUAACUUCUUCUGGCAAUGGUCGCUGAUCCCUUGGGCGAUCACAGAAAUUUUUGUACUCC
rnacentral:misc_RNA from 1 species